rnacentral:rRNA from 1 species
UACGGGGGGGGCAAGCGUUGUUCGGAAUUACGUGGCGUAAAGGGCUCGUAGGCGGCCAACUAAGUCGGAUGUGAAAUCCCCAGGCUCAACCUGGGAACUGCAUCCGAUACGUGAUGGCUUGAAUCCGGGAGAGGGAUGCAGAAUUCCAGGUGUAGCGGUGAAAUGCGUAGAUAUCUGGAGGAAUACCGGUGGCGAAGGCGGCAUCCUGGACCGGCAUUGACGCUGAGGAGCGAAAGCUAGGGGAGCAAACGGG